rnacentral:rRNA from 1 species
CAGCCGCCGCGGUAAAACGUAGGGUGCGAGCGUUAAUCGGAAUUACUGGGCGUAAAGCGUGCGCAGGCGGUUCGUUAAGACAGAUGUGAAAUCCCCGGGCUUAACCUGGGAACUGCAUUUGUGACUGACGGGCUAGAGUAUGGCAGAGGGGGGUAGAAUUCCACGUGUAGCAGUGAAAUGCGUAGAGAUGUGGAGGAAUACCGAUGGCGAAGGCAGCCCCCUGGGCCAAUACUGACGCUCAUGCACGAAAGCGUGGGGAGCAAACAGGAUUAGAUACCCCCGUAGUCCCUGUCUCUUAUAC